UACGUAGGGUGCGAGCGUUGUCCGGAAUUACUGGGCGUAAAGAGCUCGUAGGUGGUUUGUCGCGUUGUUCGUGAAAACUCACAGCUCAACUGUGGGCGUGCGGGCGAUACGGGCAGACUAGAGUACUGCAGGGGAGACUGGAAUUCCUGGUGUAGCGGUGGAAUGCGCAGAUAUCGGGAGGAACACCGGUGGCGAAGGCGGGUCUCUGGGCAGUAACUGACGCUGAGGAGCGAAAGCGUGGGGAACGAACAGG
rnacentral:rRNA from 1 species